rnacentral:rRNA from 1 species
UACGGAGGGUGCAAGCGUUAUCCGGAUUCACUGGGUUUAAAGGGCGCGUAGGCGGUCAGCACAAGUCAGUUGUGAAAUCUCCGGGCUUAACCCGGAAAGGUCAACUGAUACUGUGCGACUAGAGUGCGGAAGGGGCAACUGGAAUUCUCGGUGUAGCGGUGAAAUGCGUAGAUAUCGAGAGGAACACCUGCGGCGAAGGCGGGUUGCUGGGCCGACACUGACGCUGAUGCGCGAAAGCCAGGGGAGCGAACGGG